GAUACUCUACGAGUAUUAUUUUUGAGUGCUCAGGGGGCUGUAUCCGCGUUGUGCAUCGAUCAGGUUAACGGCUGCAUUGUGGCAGGAAUUCAGGAAGUGAUCAGAGUUUAUGACCCUGAGACACGAAAGAUUGUGCAAAAGAAUGUUGGCCACACUGACUCAGUGCGAUGUGUGAUGCACAUUCCUGAGAGAAGUCAGUAUAUAUCAGCGUCAUGGGACAAGACUGUCAGAAUAUGAAAUGCCUUCAAAAACAGUCGUAAAAGAUCAACAAAAGAUAACAAGGAACAAUCAGAAGAUGCAAACAGUUAGGUGCAAGAUGAACAUGAACAGUGAGACCAAUGCAAGAUACUUUUUAAGAUUGUACAAAGGAAUAUUAUAUUUUAAAAUGAAAGAUGUAACAUGAAUUUUUUAAAUUCUUAGCAUUAAAGCACUCCUGAAGUCUACUAAAA